ensembl:lncRNA
CAUGAGAAAGGGAAGAAUGCUUUCAAAAUUCUUGCAUCUGUAGUGCUAGCUGGUGAGGAGCAACAGAAAUACCUCUUGUUCAGUAACAUUUACUCUUAGAGCUGAGACAUGGGCAAGGUAUGGGGCGGUGGAGGGGGGCAUAGAGAAAUGUGCCCAGCACACUCAUCAGGGAGGCCAAUGGGCUUGUAAAGAACAAGGUCAAUUACCCAGUAAGUUCCCCUCUCAUGAACCUUCAAGUUGCAAACUUUCAAAGAUAGGAAUGUGCACCUUGCUGCAACAAGAAACCAGAACCUGUGCCAUCCACAUGAGUCAUAAGUGACCUUGCAGCUUGCCCUCCAUCUCCUGUUGCUGAUGACCCUUCAGCCCUAUCAUCUCCCACCUCCUCUCCCUCCUCCAUCAGUAACUCUUCUGGUCUGUUCCCUCGAUGCCAGCCACUGUAUGCCAGCUGUUGUACUGCACUGCUGUAUUUCUCAAGGUACGGGUGUUGGAGAAGACUCUUGAGAGUCCCUUGGACUGCAAGGAGAUCCAACCACUCCAUUCUGAAGGAGAUCAGCCCUGGGAUUUCUUUGGAAGGACUGAUGCUGAAGCUGAAACUCCAAUACUUUGGCCACCUCAUGUGAAGAGUUGACUCAUUGGAAAAGACUCUGAUGCUGGGAGGGAUUGGGGGCAGGAGGAGAAGGGGACAGCAAAGGAUGAGAUGGCUGGAUGGCAUCACUGACUCGAUGGACAUGAGUUUGGGUGAACUCCGGGAGUUGGUGAUGGACAGGGAGGCCUGGCAUGCUGCAAUUCAUGGGGUCGCAAAGAGUUGGACGUGACUGAGCGACUGAACUGAACUGAACUGAACUAUCCUUACCAAAAUUUUAGUACGGUCUACUGCAAUCAUAUAUUCAUUUGUUUGAAGUGUCUUUAUUUCAAUUUUAUUUUGAAGUAUAUUUUCCUGAAUAUGGCAUUCUAAUUUAGUUGACAUUUCUUUUGUUGAUACAUUGAAGAUAUUCUUGAAUGUUUUAGUCCACUAUUUUCUCACUGCUCUUGUUGCUUUUGAAAUGUCAGCUGUAAUUCUGUUGCUCUAAUAAAUGUAAUGCGUCCUUUAAAAAAUA